rfam:Glossina morsitans morsitans, isolate Yale, WGS project CCAG01000000 data, contig: ctg10001833
AAAAAGGGCGCUCGUCGUUGCAUGUGAUUAUAUCGCAUAGCGAAGUUUGCAGGUCCCUGUGAACUUUGUAACAGUGCAGACGCAUUGCAGUAUUGUAGUCGAACAUUUGCAAACUCCUUUAACAUAGAUUUUUGUCUGUGUUUGAGGGAAUGCGGACGACAGCAAUUACUUCAGUGGGGUAUGGCUUUGCAUAUCCAGUGCAUAAUUUUUGUAAAAUGAAAGGCAAGGCUGGCCAAGAGAAUGGAUUGCAUUUAGUGAUUUCACUGAAUGAGUACCUUCUCGAGUACGCCUUGUUUUU